rnacentral:rRNA from 1 species
UACGUAGGGUGCAAGCGUUAAUCGGAAUUACUGGGCGUAAAGCGUGCGCAGGCGGUUUUGUAAGCCAGAUGUGAAAGCCCCGGCUCAACCUGGGAAUUGCGAUGAAGACUGCAAGGCUUGAAUCUGGCAGAGGGGGGUAGGAAUUCCACGUGUAGCAGUGAAAUGCGUAGAGAUGUGGAGGAACACCGAUGGCGAAGGCAGCCCCCUGGGUCAAGAUUGACGCUCAUGCACGAAAGCGUGGGGAGCAAACCAGGAUUAGAUACCCCAGUAGUCCCUGAACUGCCAA